CUGAGAACUACACUUUAAAAGGCAAGGCUGUAGACUCUCUAGUGACUGCUAGUGGAUAUUUCUUAGUUAUGGUCUGUCAUUUUCAAAACCUGACCCCACAAUUCCAGACACACUAGUUAGAAAGGUCAAAUGAAUUGUCAUUUGUUACAGGAUCUCACCACAAGUGUGCCUUCGCUUGAACAGAGACAAUAUCUGCUCUUGGAGUCACUGCCACCAAGGGGAAUAACUUUACCUGGAAUAUGGACUAGGAGCUCAAGCCAAAAGCAUGGACAAGGGAGUCCCAGAUUACAGGAUACUAUCAUGACUCUUCUAUAAAUAUAAACUCCUAUUAGAUAAAUUGAUAAGAUGCACUCUGGUUAGCUAUUGCUGUUACAAACCACCCCUAACAGUGGCUUCACACUUGAUCUUAGCCAAAAGGCCGAGAAGCGAUAACAGUGGCUUAAAGCAAUGACAAUCUAGGGUUGGCUGGGCUCAGCCAGGUGGUUCUUACGUGGUCUAUCAUUAAGGUGCAAAAAGAUAGUGGCUGGGUUAGGGCCAUUCUGAAGAGUUAUUCAUUCACAGGUCUAGAACCUGGGCUGAGAGAACUCAAACAGCUGGAGGAUCGAUCUAUCUAUCUAUCUAUCUAUCUAUCUAUCUAUCUAUCUAUCUAUCAUCUAUCUACCAUCUUCUAUCUAUCUAUCAUCUAUCUUUUGAUCCCCUCCAUGUGAUCUCUCCCCAAAGCAGCUCCAAAAUAACUAGACUUCUUAUAUGACAGCUGGAACCUUGGAGUAACUUUCCUAAAGAGACACUGCUAGAAGCUGCAUGAUCUUUUCUAAUCUAACUUCAGAAGUCACACUUCUACGACAUUCUGUUCAUUAAGGCAGCCACAAGGGCCUGCCCAAGUUCAAGAGGUGAGGAUACCGACUCUGUCUCUUAAUGUGUAGAGUGUCAAAUAAUUUAUAAGCAUGUUUCAAAAUCCACCAGAAGUUGCAAGAAUGAAUCAAUUAGUGUUGACUAAUAUCAAUA
rnacentral:lncRNA from 1 species